rnacentral:rRNA from 24 species
UCUAAACGACUCUCGGCAACGGAUAUCUCGGCUCUCGCAUCGAUGAAGAACGUAGCGAAAUGCGAUACUUGGUGUGAAUUGCAGAAUCCCGUGAACCAUCGAGUCUUUGAACGCAAGUUGCGCCCGAAGCCUUCUGGCCGAGGGCACGCCUGCCUGGGCGUCA